GACAUGUCUUUAUUUGAGGACUUAUUCAAUUCUUGAGGCUGGAGCACAUCAGGAGAAAGUGCAGACGGACAGCUUUUGUAAGCCAUCUGAGGAGUAUGGGAUCAACCCUCCGGUGGUUGCACAGGGCACGCAUCCCAGACGCCCUUGCCUCUGUAAAUGAUAUACACGAUAUACGCCCUUUAAAUGAUGAUACAUUGAUGGUACCCACGCAGGCUUUCUGAGAGGUAAGGCCUGCUGCAAUGUAAGCAUGAGAGAGACUCAGCUUUCACAUAGUCUCCGCCUUUGCCCACCAUUCACACCCACACAGCAGUCACGGCAGCGGGACUAAGGAUAAAGCACCUCACGGCCGCCCUGCCCGUCUGCCUGCCUGGCACCACCACCAAGAGAGCAGCCAGGGGGUGAGUCACUGCCCAGCUGCCCAAGCCGCUGCCACGUCAGACCCUGGAGCCUGCUUCCGGGGGCUCGUCUGCCCCACGCCCACCCUCCUCCUCCGUGGCGGUACCGGGGGGAUGGGUGAGGACACAGCUCCGGGCUGUCUGCACACGGCCUCACGUGUGGUGGGGCCACGGGGGUCCCACGUGGCUUGUGCCAUGGGAACAAGCAAGCAAGGGGCCCCUUUGCUGCGGCCUCGCUUGGUGGGGGGCGCCCAGGUCUGGUUUUAGAGGACCAGUGGUUUGCCACGGGGGACUGAGCUGCUAUCUAGAGUAUGACAGCCUGAUCCAGGUCAAGUUCAUGCUGCAUUUCCUGGCUGCCCAUGUUUCUCAAACUCACCCACCUGGAUGGCAGAGAGGCCAGAGGGAGGAGAGCCAAAAGAGUCAUGGGGAGGGGCAACCUCAGCCUCAAGAAUCACAGCUGGAGGAAAGUUUGAUGGAAAAGAAUUUGUGAAAUCUUCUCCGGCAGGAAGCAUGGACUUUGGAAAGCUGUCUUUGCACCUCCAUCCAGAAGUGUGCGCCGGAAAAUGUUAGAGUCGGGCUUGUUGCCUCUGUGCUGGCCCUCUGCAAGCCCUCUGUGUAUACCACUAAGCCGCUUCAGGGUCUAAGUAAACAAGAUCAAAUGUGCUAUAUGAAGCAGAAUCAUGGGAGCAUCUUUUCAUCCUGGAUUGAACAAUUUCAAACUUUCUUCUGAUGUUUUUUCAGGGGAGGGGUGGAGGAGGGUCUUAACUCUUAAUAAAAAAAAAAAAAGUCAGACAUACUCAGCAUCUCCUGGAGAUCUGAGGCCUCUGGACCUGGAGGCUUUCAGCACUGAGAGUUGACUAUAAACACCAGUGUGGCCAAAACCCACAACUGAGUGCUGUUACUGCAAAGUGAGUGGAUGGGUGAUUCUUUUUAAUUCAGCGAAUAACAUGGCUUCCCUGUAUCUUUACUUCUCACAGGUGCUGGCUUUGCCAAACCGGUCAAUCUCUUUUAUAGAUAAAUAUGUGCCUGUUUUAUUAAAACAAAAGCCUCUUAAAUGCAGAUGAUACGCUUCCUGCUUGCUAGUCCUCACAGAUUCCUUGUUGCAACCCAAGCGGGCGUGUUACUUUGAUAGUCGUAUGAAAUAACCUUCCCUUUGCCUGGGGAUAUUUAUAACAAAACAUGCAGAAUUAUUGCACCAUAAAGCCUGCUUCACUGAUUCUUGCUG
ensembl:lincRNA